UCCCUGGUGGUCCAGUGGCUAAGACUCUGAGCUCCCAAAGCAGGGAGCCUGGUUCCAUCCCUGGUCAGGGAA
rnacentral:tRNA from 1 species